rnacentral:rRNA from 1 species
CCUACGGGGCGCAGCAGUGGGGGAUAUUGCACAAUGGGGGGAACCCUGAUGCAGCGACGCCGCGUGGGUGAAGGAGCGUUUCGGCGCGUAAAGCCCUAUCGGCAGGGAAGAAGAUGACGGUACCUGACCAAGAAGCCCCGGCUAACUACGUGCCAGCAGCCGCGGGAAUACGUAGGGGGCAAGCGUUAUCCGGAUUUACCGGGUGUAAAGGGGGCGCAGACGGCAAUGCACACCAGGAGUGAAUUCCC